rnacentral:rRNA from 1 species
GAUGAACGCUGGCGGCGUGCCUAAUACAUGCAAGUCGAGCGAACAGACGCGGAGCUUGCUCCUCUGACGUUUGCGGCGGACGGGUGAGUAACACGUGGAUACCCUACCUAUAAGACUGGGAUAACUUCGGGACAGCGGAGCUAAUACCGGAUAAUAUAUUGAACCGCAUGGUUCAAUAGUGAAAGACGGUUUUGCUGUCACUUAUAGAUGGAUCCGCGCCGCAUUAGCUAGUUGGUAAGGUAACGGCUUACCAAGGAGACGAUGGGUAGCCGAGCUGAGCGGGUGAUCGGCCACACUGGAACUGAGACACGGUCCAGACUCCUACGGGAGGCAGCAGUAGGGAAUCGUCCGCAAUGGGCGAAAGCCUGACGGAGCAACGCCGCGUGAGUGAUGAAGGUCUUCGGAUCGUAAAACUCUGUUAUUAGUGAAGAACAAAUGUGUAAGUAACUAUGCACGUCUUGACGGUACCUAAUCAGAAAGCCACGGCUAACUACGUG